rnacentral:rRNA from 1 species
GACGAACGCUGGCGGCGUGCUUAACACAUGCAAGUCGAGCGGAAAGGCCACUUAGGUGGUACUCGAGCGGCGAACGGGUGAGUAACACGUGAGUAAUCUGCCCUCUACUUCGGGAUAGCCCUGGGAAACUGGGAUUAAUACCGGCUCUGACUACCGAUUGCAUGAUCUGGUGGUGGAAAGUUUUUCGGUGGAGGAUGUGCUCGCGGCCUAUCAGCUUGUUGGUGGGGUACUGGCCUACCUAGGCUUCGACUGGUAGCCGGCCUGAGAGGGUGACCGGACACACUGGGACUGUGGCACUGCCAAGACUCCUGCGGGAGGCAGCAGUGGGGAAUAUUGGACAAUGGGCGGUAGCCUGAUCAAGCAGCGCCGCGUGAGGGAUGACGGCCUUCGGGUUGUAAACCUCUUUCAGCGCCGACGAAGCGAAAGUGACGGUAGGCGCAGAAGAAGCACCGGCGAACUACGUGCCAGCAGCCGCCGCCGUAA